rnacentral:lncRNA from 1 species
GCAACCGGGGCCACCCGGCGUGGUUCGGCUUCACCCCAGCCCUCCCUGUGUGCUCCCCACAUCCCUGCACACCCCCUCAACAAACCUCUCUGCCCACCCCACAGGUUCACCACUAAGAAGGAGAAGAAAAUCUGCUCCUCUCUCACCAGUCCAGCCGUCCAGAAGCUGAUCCGCAGCCUGGAGGAGAAGCAGAAGAACCCCCCUCCGAAGCCCCAGGGCAGAUCCAGGCGGCUGAAGCGAAAGCAGGCCUAAGCCAGGCCUGGAGAGGACGGAUGCUUUCCCCACCAACGACCGACCGCCUGGCAAUGGACAUCCGCAGCUUUGCCACGGAUGCGGGGCUUUCUGCGGGGCACCUGGUGGGAUGGCAGCUUUGUUUUGGGGUUUUGUACAUUUGUAUUUAUAUUAAAGACUCUGCUUUCAUUCAGUCUCACCCAGAGGGCCCUAAUUCUGGCUCCUCAUGCUUCACAGAGCACCCUUUAUGCUGCAGGCUGGCUUGUCUGGAAGGUCGCUUUUAUUUUUCUUACCGAAUAAGCGGUGGCUACCGUUCACUCCCUUCCGGCCCCUUUUGCUCCUUUCCAGCUUGCAGGGCUGCGGGGCGCCAGGCGGGUCCCACGUCCCACUGCUCACGGGCUGCUGGCUGGGAGCUGCCUCCACGGCCACUCGUGGGGCUGAGCAGCAGAGGGGGGCUGCACGGUGCCACGGCCCCACUUUUACAGCUGUUGAAGUGUAGUUUGCAGGAAGACAGGCUUUUUCAAAACAUGUUUUGAUUUUAUUAAAUCCUUUCUUUUUCUUUUUUUUUUUUUUUUUUGGUAUAAAUUGCAAUGAAAUCAGAGCAAGCUUUUCAUUUCAGUGCAAUUUUACCCUUUUAUCCGCACUUGGUUUUGCUGUAUUCAGAGAUUCAGAGAUUAGUAAGCCAGGCGCUUUGCUUUCAGGAAGAAACUCUCUUACACUUUAUUCUCCCAGAUGAAAAGCUUGCAUGGUGAAAAUUGCACGCAGGUGGGGGAAUAGAAGAGUUUGCAAGAUUCAUUACAGACACGCUGCAGUUGCUUGUGAGCAGCUCUAUCUCAAAUCCUUAGUAAAAUGAGAAAUCUCUGCCCUGCGUGCGCUGGCAGGUGAGGCUGAAAGGGGGGGCACGGAAAGGUCCCAGGGAAACAUCAGCUCCCUGU